rnacentral:misc_RNA from 1 species
AGGGAUAGCAAGUUUUGUCAUAAAUUGAAUAUCAAAUGUCCCGUUUGUAUUAUCUAAAUUUAAUGGAUUCAUGGGGAGGAGAGUGGAAAAGAGCAGGAGGGGUGGCAUGCUUAAUUUUAUCUUGCGUUGAAGGUGUUAAACCUGUGACAGAGGGCGGGGAUGCAAAAGUAGAGAAUGGGAUAGACCUUUCUAUUGGAAUCUUGCUGGGGCCCUAUUGCGUACAAGGGCAUUCCAAGAUUGAAAAUUGGUGUCUGUUCUAUUCUUAUUGGUCUUCUGUAUUCAGUAAGAGGUUAUGGAGGAGGAAAAUACAUGCUUGACUUUGAAAAAAGCUGGAAUUUGAUAUGAGCAGGUUGAAAA